rnacentral:rRNA from 1 species
UACGGAGGGUGCGAGCGUUUGUCCGGAAUCAUUGGGCGUAAAGGGCGCGUAGGUGGCGGGACAAGCGUGCGGUGAAAGCUCGGGGCUCAACCCCGAGUCGGCCGUGCGAACUGUCUUGCUUGAGCACUGUAGAGGCAGGCGGAAUUCCGGGUGUAGCGGUGGAAUGCGUAGAGAUCCGGAAGAACACCGGUGGCGAAGGCGGCCUUCUGGACAGUGACGUGACGCUGAGACGGCGAAAGCGUGGGGAGCAAACAGGG